ACUUCUAUUAUGUUCUUGUUAAUUUUGCUUGCUCAUUUAAUUUUAAUUUCAAAAUUAUUAUAAUAAAACUAUACAUUAGCACGAAAUAUUAAUGUAGAUCGCAAGAGCAAUGAUUUAAAUAUUCCUGAAUUUUAUAUGAAUAUUUUUAUUCUGGACAAUUUAACUUUUCAAAUUCGUGCACAGGCGCACAAUGGUUCGCAUCAGCGAACAGAAUUGCCCGAAAGUAAUCGAACAGUGACGCUCGGAAACGCGCGAGAAUUACAUUGUCACGUAAGAAUACUUAUACAUUAUAUAUUACUUUUAUUAUUCGCACUAACUGUUAUUUUUUUUAUUGGAAGUACAAGAUAUAAAACUCUUAAACAAAUUAAAGAAAUCAUCAUCGAAAUUCAUUGACAAAGGUAUGACAUUUUUUGUCAUACUUCAUCAUACCUUAAAAACUCUAAUUUAUUAUAAAGAAUAUUACAAAUUCAACAAAACGAAGUUCAUUCGAAAUCUAAUAGUAAUCAAUGAAGGGAAGGAUAGAUUCACUGAUGCGAUAGAGAAUGAAUUCUGAAUAGUCGGUAUUUCAGAGCAAGUGUCACAAGAUCCGUAAGAGGUCAGGUUUGUUUCAUUUGUGCAUUUCAUUUGUGGUUCAGCACAACCAUACUGAUUUUAUUACUUUUAAUGUUUCAGCGAAUGAAUUGAAUAUAAUUUCUAUACCGGCCGCAAUAAAUUCUUAAGUUUUCUGAAGACUGAUAUUUUAGAAUGUAAGAUAUCAGCUCUCAUAUACAUCCCAUCCUUCAAUAGUUAUACAUUUGUUCGAUCUUUAUUGAAGAUAACGCUUCUAUAUCGAUGUAUAUCGAUGUAUAUGAAUAAUACGUGUAUGAUCAUAUGGACUUUAUAUGAAUUGCAUCAUUACGACUUUCACGAUCAGAUGAUGCCUCAUUUUUAUGUAUCGUUUUGGCACACAAACUUGCCGAUCGACGACCUUCAUAGAGCGAGACGACGGAAGUCAUAAAGCGUUAUCGAGGUUCUUUUCAUACCAUUGAGCCGAGUGAAUUAGUCAUCGAUGAUUGAAUGUGUGCGUACCCACCGGUAUACGCACCUACGUAUAUGGUGUAUUACAAUUUUGAUUUAUUACAACGAUUUAUUUCUUGUGUUUAGAAAGCAUGAGAAUGUUAGGUAUGCAAAUUGCGUAAGCGGAAAACAAGCGGAAAGAAUUUUUAGAACUGGAUGUUCCAAAUUAAAUCACCGAUCGAUCUAGAAACUCUUUUUAUGUAUAUUUAUAUAUAUAUAUAUAUAUAUAUCAAAGAUAAACAGAUAAAUUCGUGCCUUGUACAAAAUA